GCUGUGGUGGGUCAGUGGUAGAAUCCUCGCCUUCCAUGUGGGAGACCUGGGUUUGAUUCCCGGCCGAUGCA
rnacentral:tRNA from 1 species